GGUGGCAUAGUGGUUAAGUGUUUGGCUUCUAACCAAAGGGCUGGCAGUUUGAAUCUACCAACCA
rfam:Loxodonta africana unplaced genomic scaffold scaffold_5, whole genome shotgun sequence.